rnacentral:misc_RNA from 1 species
CCGAGUUUACACAAACUCCCAACCCUUUGUGAACCUUACCUACCGUUGCUUCGGCGGACCGCCCCGGGCGCUGCGUGCCCCGGACCCAGGCGCCCGCCGGGGACCAUUCAAACCCUGUUUUAUAACCAGUGUAUCUUCUGAGCGAGCCGAAAGGCAACGAAACAAUCA